AUACUCUUCAGGACAAUCUGAUAAAUGUUUAUGAAGAUAGAUAUAAUAAAAUGGAAACUGCUUGUCGUGACUUUCAAAAUAAUGCCAGUACUACACGUAAAUGCUCCGCGUUAUUGUGAAAACUGUAAUUAUAUCCAGUUAAAGAAAAAGCGUGUACAACAAUAUCAAUUUAUAUGAUAUGUUUUCAUUGUAUAUAUUCAAACAAAUAAUAACAAGCCACGCAAUAAACAGUAUUUGUAGUUUAAGUUUUUAUUUUGAAGGUGGCAUGGGUGGUUUCUGCUCUUACUUUGGUGAUUUGACGCAAUUUAGUGACGCAAGAAGCAAACAAAUUGUAUUCGCUUACAGCAGGUUGGCCCCGCCUCUCGGAGCACUAGCGUCACUAUAGCAACGACAAUGUUUGAAAGUGGGUCCUUGGCAUCAACAAGAGAAAGUGUCCAGACUAAAUGGUCUGCGAAUAGGCGGAAUAUGGCCGUUUUAUCUGAGCAACUAAAGGCAACCUGUUGUCUAAACCAUAAGUAAGUUCGGAACAUCUAUGAUUCGAAAGGUUUUAAGUGAGGAGAUGCUAAAACUAAACUGAAAAGUUAACGCUUGUAUAAUGUAAGCUAGCAGUUCGAGUGCGAAUUAUUUAGUAACGUUAGCCUACUUGCUAACGUUUGUUGAGCGUCUAACAAUUAGUCUUCCCCAACAGUGAAUACGUAGUCACUUUCUAAUGUAAACAGCUGUCUACAUCUUUUUUAUAAAAUCAUUUCAAAAGUUACUCUGAAAUCAGAUGGUUUCACCAAAAUAUGUGACUUAGCACUAUAUAAAAGUAUGGUACUCAUUCUUUUUUAGACUAGUUGAUAUGCAAACAGCAGACAUAUUGCAACCGUGGAGGGAAUGUGAUACUCCUACUCUAUACAGCAUCUUCAUUAUUGCAGUAUGACAGUAAUUUUAUAAACACCUUUAACUGCCCCAGUGAAGUCACUGAAUUAACCCUACACAUCACAUUGCAAACUUGAAAACAAUCUGCUGCACCUCCAUGUUUUUCCUCUUGCACUCAGAUUAUAAGUUCACAGGCUUGCCGGCCUAAUAUUUCCCAACAUGCCUCACUCUCCCCGACUGUCCUCCUACAACCUUUUGUCAUUUCUCACAUGAGGAGCCACAGCUGACCUUGUGCCAGGAUGGAGGUGACCUUCUCCGGCACCGCAGAUUCCCUCGGAGCCUCUGCGGAAGGGAGCUCCUCCGCCUCUGGGCCGGCCGGUAGAGGAGACGAGGAACGGAGCCAACAUUCCCAAUCAUCUACUGCAGUCAAAAAUGUAUGCCAAACUGAAAAGUAACAGCCUGAUCCAAGCAGAGCCACCAGUGCUUCACUUCAGUGGGUUUGAGCUGGAGAAGGAUUACAUAAAGAUCCUGUAUCGACUGAUUCCGGGCCUCGCCUGCACGCCGAAGGCCAGAUUCCAUCCUGACGAGUGGCGUUACUUCUACGACCGCAUUCGGGUUCACCGCAAGAGGGCCCUAAUGUCUUUGAGUUUGAGGUGAACGUUAUUCAGCCCCACGAGGCCUUCUCCAUUCAUCCCCUCACAGGUGUGAUACCAGCCAGUGGUGAAGUCGUUGUGACCUUUAGUCCUUUCCACUGUGAGACUUCUCAGGUCACCAUCCAGCUGAUCAUCAACCUCUGUACCAUCACUGGAAGCUGCUUACCUCACCUGGCCCUCAAGCUCUUGGUAAUUUGGUGACAGCUGUGGAUCCUAUGGACGUGACUCUGACGACACGCAUUCCUUUCUUCAACCUUCGAGUAGGCAUUUGCUGCAACAUCUGAUCAUCUUACCAUCAUUCUUACGUACACAGCGACUCCAUAAUACACGGAAGGCGACCUGGAGUUCCACUUUCGCCCUCUCCCCAGGUAGCGACAGCAAUCAAUCGGUCGUGGACUCGAUUUUCCCCUGACCUAAACCAGAUACUGAGGAAGAAGGUGCUUCAUUAUGCAGUUUGUGAGAGUCUUUGGAAAGAUGUCAGUUACUGCAGUUUUUAAAGUUAUCAGUGUCAGAGUUAUAGCGUAAGAGCGUGUUGUUUAUCAUUCUGUUGCCAACGGGACUCGUGAUUGUGAAUUUUGAUGGAAUUACCUCAAAAUGUCUGUCCAAGCAACCUACUGUCACCGGUGACUACGCUGUGCGCAGGUAGGUCAGAACUAAACCCUAUGAUUGAGUACAGCACCGAGCUGGGCUGCUUUCUGAAAGGAUUUCUCCUGUGAUUCACUCAAGAAGACAGUACGAGAGGUUCCCAAAUUCCCAUGAUGCACCAGUGUGGGACCCAAAAGUACAAACACUUGUUUAUUGUGCUUGUUUACAAAGUGAAAAGUGGCUUUUGUGUACUUAUAACAUCAGUUAUCUGUCCAGUCCAUGGAAGAAUUUGAACUUCAGACCCUGUUUUUUUUUUUUCCAAACAUAUCAGACCCGUAGAUGCCUUACGUAGUGCUGAGAUUAUUUUUCUCCUUCAGGUUUUAGAGAUGGCCAAAAAAUACAGAAUGAGCACAUUUCAGUAGUUCUGUAUCUUUUCUUUUGUUCUUAAAAUAAAACUAGAUUGAACUAAGGUAGUUCACUGCACUG